GACAGAGGGUGCAAACGUUGUUCGGAAUUACUGGGCGUAAAGCGUGUGUAGGUGGCUGCGCAAGUCGGAUGUGAAAGCCCUGGGCUCAACUCAGGAAGUGCACUCGAUACUGCGUAGCUCGAGUACCGGAGAGGUUGGUGGAAUUCUCGGUGUAGAGGUGAAAUUCGUAGAUAUCGAGAGGAACACCUGUGGCGAAGGCGGCCAACUGGACGAGUACUGACACUGAGACACGAAAGCGUGGGGAGCAAACAGG
rnacentral:rRNA from 1 species